GACGAACGCUGGCGGCGUGCCUAAUACAUGCAAGUUGAGCGCUGAAGGUUGGUCCUUGUCCCGACUGGAUGAGCAGCGCACGGGUGAGUAACGCGUGGGGAAUCUGCCUUUGAGCGGGGGACAACAUUUGGAAACGAAUGCUAAUACCGCAUAAAAACUUUAAACACAAGUUUUAAGUUUGAAAGAUGCAAUUGCAUCACUCAAAGAUGAUCCCGCGUUGUAUUAGCUAGUUGGUGAGGUAAAGGCUCACCAAGGCGAUGAUACAUAGCCGACCUGAGAGGGUGAGCGGCCACAUUGGGACUGAGACACGGCCCAAACUCCUACGGGAGGCAGCAGUAGGGAAUCUUCGGCAAUGGACGAAAGUCUGACCGAGCAACGCCGCGUGAGUGAAGAAGGUUUUCGGAUCGUAAAACUCUGUUGGUAGAGAAGAACGUUGGUGAGAGUGGAAAGCUCAUCAAGUGACGGUAACUACCCAGAAAGGGACGGCUAACUACGUG
rnacentral:rRNA from 1 species